UACCUUCGCAUGGAAGUGCGCCGGUGGGAGAGUAAUAAAAAUGUGAAAUCGAAACAAAAAGCCCGGCAGGCGUAAAAAUUGGGAAUGACGCAAUAUCCAAGCCAAGACAAACACAUCCGUCUUAGUUUAUGGCCGCAGCAUAGACUCUUGCAUAACGCAUAAUGCAUAAAGGAAUCAAUCAAUUGAAAUUCUUCGUUUCCACGGAAUUGGAGGAAAGGAAAGAUUCUAAUUGCGGCCUUUACUCACAUCACAGAACUAAUUCCUAAGUACGAAAGUGUAUAAAAGUGUCUCCCCAAAGGACAUCAGACUUACACAUAGGGCAAAUACCCUCGAUUGAGAGGACUAUCAAUCUAAAAUCAAGUAUCUUUUGCGAUGAUUUCUUCCUAGGAACAUGUUUUAGUCGCC